rnacentral:snRNA from 1 species
AUACCUUUCCCAACCUUUUGGCUGAGAUAAAGUGUAAUAUUUGUUCUUAUCAAUUUAAUAUUUGAUACAUGGACCAUAUGAUCAUUUUGAUAUUAAAUUUACAAAUAAUGUUACGCCAG